UACGUAGGGGGCAAGCGUUGUCCGGAUUUACUGGGCGUAAAGAGCGUGUAGGCGGCCAAGCAGGUCCGUUGUGAAAACUGGAGGCUUAACCUCCAGACGUCGACGGAAACCGCGUGGCUAGAGUCCGGAAGAGGAGAGUGGAAUUCCUGGUGUAGCGGUGAAAUGCGCAGAUAUCAGGAAGAACACCAAUGGCGAAGGCAGCUCUCUGGGACGGUACUGACGCUGAUACGCGAAAGCGUGGGGAGCGAACAGG
rnacentral:rRNA from 1 species